GAUGAAGAACGCAGCGAAAUGCGAUACUUGGUGUGAAUUGCUGAAUCCCGUGAACCAUCAAGUUUUUGAACGCAAGUUGCGCCCGAAGCCAUUAGGCCGAGGGCACGCCUGCCUGGGUGUCACACAUUGUUGCCCCAAUGCCAAUCGCCUCACUUUGUAGGUAUUUGCUUGGGGUGAAUGUUGGCCUCCCGUGAGCUCUGUCUCACGGUUGGUUGAAAAUCGAGUGCAUGGUGUCGGGUGUACCAUGAUGGAUGGUGGUUGAGUGAUGCUCGAGGCGAAUCAUGGGUAACUCCACCAGAAUUGUGCUCGGUGACCCACAUCAAGUCAGGCGGGGCUACCCGCUGAGUUUAAGCAUAUCAAUAAGCGGAGGA
rnacentral:misc_RNA from 1 species